UGGAUGUCAAUAUAUGAUUGCUACAAUGCUGGCUGUCUUAUCUGAAAUGCCACCUCCAUCUUCUUUGUCAUAGAUGGCUCUGACUGUAAAGUGCAGAUCAAAAGAUACAGCAGAUUGGGAUGAGUCUCCUUUGUAAUGGGGAUUUCCCUGAGAGAUACUGUGAUUACUGUAUCUAUACAAGUAGUGUUAAAGAUACACUUGUGCACUAUUAACAGGAGAUUUACUCAGAGUAUCUUCUAAAAAUACAUCUAUUCACUGUUCAGCAUUAUCUUCACUAUGUUCCAGAGCUUGGCAUUUUUAUUGUAUUAAUGUUUCUAUUUUAUCUGUUAUAUUUCUUCUCGUAAACAAACUACCAGCCAAAUGCUUUCUGGCUGAUUGCACCAGAGCUUGACUAUGUCUGGCUUUUAAUCACAGCUUCCUCAUCUCUCUGAAAACAUCCUUGGUCUUCUGGGUAACACAAGCCCUGUGGCAGGCUAACUUAUGCUGAGAAAAGGUCGGCUGGCUGUCGGAGCAAAGCACAAGGAAAGCAAAGCCCAGCGCUCAGCUGAGAGCUGAGAAGUUGCCAGAAGGCUGUGGAGCUCAUGCAGAGAAACCCCCUGCCUUCCACACUGUGCUGAGCCGAGGUCUCAGGAUUUUUAAAGCUUCAGAUGUCCAGACACUCUCCUCACUUUGAACAGCAAAUGGGAAUCAAUUUACCUGUCAGCUGGAGAAAGCGCUCCGUGUGUGGGACAAGUGCAGGUUCUGCUUGAGGCCCAGGGGUGGGAGACAGCUGCCUGAGAUGACCUCAGAAGAUAAUUGCAUAAAUAAUUCCAAGCUCUUUUUCCCUACCAGAUCUCUGGGUUUCCAAAGGAAGUCAUCAGGGCAAGUUUGACAUCACAAGGCUGGGUCAGAGUAGAGUCUACAAGGGUGUGAAAAACUCAGGAUGUAACACCUGAAGAGGACAAGUGGAAUUGAAAGAUUCUGCCAAGGAGGAAUCCUUCUCUGUUCUGCAGCAACCUGUGCUCCAUUAACCAGCUCCAGCUGCAGUAAAUCCACUCAGCUCCAGCAAGACUUUUGCAACAGCCAAGCCCCAGCAGUACAACAGGGAUAAAGAAACUGUCAGAAAGUCAUUUUGAUGGCCAACACUUUAUCCUCUGACACAAUACAGUUGUAAGUUAUACAGGAAUUUCACAGUAUGUAAUAGUAAUAUGCACAAGGUAAAAACUCCAAGUCAUUAGCAGUAUAAUUUAUUAGCUAAGUUGUGCCAAUGCCUAUCAAUCAGGCUUUAAGGUUGGUUCCUGAGAGGUUUUUGAUCUUCCUCACAUUGCUUUGCUUUUCUUCUUCCAUGGCAGCAGUAGCAGGAGACAAUUACAUUAUAUAUCUACUCAGUGCUCUGGUGAGAGACCAUUAUGUUCACAGAUCAUUACUGACAUCCUGACAUUUGUCAUCUCCUUUCAUAGCAGUUAAAUCUUGCUUUAUCUGUAAAUGUCACCACGUCAUUUAUUCAUGAAAAGGGGUCACAUUCCCAAAAUAGUACACUCAGCUUUUAAAAGGGAAGUUGGUUUUAUUCACUGUGGUAAUCCUUGGACAAACUUCACUGCUGCUAAGUACUGACAUUUUUUCCCCAUGCAGCUGUUUACAUCCACACAUACAGAUUUCAGGUUUGGUU